AAUAUUGUAGAACCCUGCAGCAGAGAGGAAGUUAAAGGAAUGUGCUAACAAUAGGGUAGCCAGUAGCAACUUUAUAUAAAUCAAGGCCAGUAGACAUUUAGCUAGGGGCCAAUAAUAAUCAUCUGGAUGCAAAUUUCGGAAAAGGUGUUAAUCCUUGCUAAUCCCCAGGUAAUAUCAGUUGGAGAAGUUACCCUAUGUGCCUCCACUGUACACAGAGAUCGGGGGAAUCGUCCCAAAAUGACUUACAGUUAAGUCAUUUUCUUCACUCAAUGCUUUUUGUUGUUUUUGUUUAACCUGAUCCGAUUUGUCUGAUGGCACGUUCGAUCCAAAAGAUGUAGAGAUAGUUUAGACUGUGUGAAAGUUUAAAGGGCACUGCUCAGGAUUUCAGUUAAGCCAUCACUAUUAAAUUUAAUUUGUGAUUUGAUUAUGUAUUUUUUACACUGUUUAUGCUGCAGCUAUAUUUCUAAUAAUGGAUAGUGUUUGAAAUUUCCAUAGUUCUGCUGCUAGCGAAACUAUCACUAACAACCAAUAGACAAUGAGCAUUCUACAGGAAUUCUUUUUUGGCUACUACACAAAAUAAUUCAUAUCCAAUAGUGAUUAAUUUAAUAUGGUUUCCAUACACAUUUAUAUCUAAUGCUUAAACCGCUCUAUUAAAAUUAUUUGGAUCAUACUAUGAUUUUAUAUGAUGCAAAAACAGAACAAAAAUAUUUGAUGCAAAACUUUAAACUCAACUUCUUUAAUAUAUAAAAUGGUGGAUAUUUUGAUAUUCAGUGUGAUGUCUUUUUCAUAUUACAUCUGAAACAAAUAGCUUAGUGCUGUCUGCAGUAUAUACAUACAUCCAUAGGUAUUGCAGGGCAGUUUCCGUAGUUCUAUUUCAAGUAAAGCCUUUUAUAAUUUAUUGUUAGUAGUUUUUUUUUUUAUUCCUGAAUUCAAACUUUUUAACUAGUAUCCUAAUAAAAUGCACAGAGUGAAAUGCACAAAAACAAGUACUCAAUAAAUACUGUAUCUUUAAAUGGUGCUAAACCUAUUACAUGAAUUAUGUUUAUUUAAAAGAAUUGUAAAACAAAGAAUAUAUAGCUACAUUUGGUUGUGAUUUGUUUAGCUGAAGAACAGAGGCAACAAAUGAACAAUUCUCUAUCCCUUGAAACCAUUAAAUAACAAGAUUAUUGUAUGUGCGGAUAUAACUGGCAGGGUUGUUAUUUAAACCCAUUGAUGACCAAUGACUUCUAUGUUGCCCUCGCAUUAUGUCCUUGAAAACACUAUACCAGGAUAGAAUGUCCAACGUAUUUAACAUCAUAUCGGAAGAACGUUACUAUUUCUAAAUGAGUAGAAGGGCAUUUUAAUCAUGAUUGUUAUAACAACAUAGAGCAUCAUCGGGACUUAAUGCUUUAAAUUUGGAGUUAAUACUAAGAUACGGUUAUGAAUGUAUCAAAAAUCUAAAUCUCAAAGAUAUUAUAAAAUGCUAGUGAACAAUGAAUGUUCCUCCAAACACUGGCCAUGUGUGGUGAUUUUCCAAAAGAAAACAGCAAAUACUUUUGUAUUUAAUUUUUGUACUGAUUUGGAAAUUAUCUUAAUAAAUGUUAAAAAUGCACUCUUCA
rnacentral:lncRNA from 1 species